AGGGUUGGUCACGUGGCCGCUGGAGCUUUUUGCUCCAGAGGAAAGUCCGGGCUCCAGAGGGCAGGGCGCCGGGUAACGCCCGGAGGGGGUAACCCCUGGAAAGUGCCACAGAAAACAUACCGCCUCAGCCAUGUGGCUGGGGUAAGGGUGAAAAGGUGGGGUAAGAGCCCACCGCCUCCUUUCGCAAGAAAGGAGGGCACGGCAAACCCCGCCUGGAGCAAGGCCGUGUAGGGGAUAGGGUGGUCCCGCCCUAAGGUCCCGGGUAGGCCGCUUGAGCAGCCAGGUAACUGGUUGCCCAGAUGAAUGGCCACGGCUCCCAAUAAAAAGGGGGAACAGAACCCGGCUUAUGACCAGCCCUCCCU
rnacentral:RNase_P_RNA from 1 species